AUUGAACGCUGGCGGCAUGCCUUACACAUGCAAGUCGAACGGCAGCACGGGGCAACCUGGUGGCGAGUGGCGAACGGGUGAGUAAUGCAUCGGAACGUACCUUUCAGUGGGGGAUAACGUAGCGAAAGUUACGCUAAUACCGCAUAUUCUGUGAGCAGGAAAGCAGGGGAUCGCAAGACCUUGCGCUGAUUGAGCGGCCGAUGUCAGAUUAGCUAGUUGGUGAGGUAAAGGCUCACCAAGGCGACGAUCUGUAGCGGGUCUGAGAGGAUGAUCCGCCACACUGGAACUGAGACACGGUCCAGACUCCGACGGGAGGCAGCAGUGGGGAAUUUUGGACAAUGGGGGCAACCCGGAUCCAGCCAUGCCGCGUGAGUGAAGACGGCCUUCGGGUGGUAAAGCUCUUUCGGCCGGGAAGAAAUCGCACGGGCUAAUACCCUGUGUGGAUGACGGUACCGGAAUAAGAAGCACCGGCUAACUACGUGCCAGCCGCCGCAGUAAGAC
rnacentral:rRNA from 1 species